rnacentral:tRNA from 1 species
GCUGGGGUUGUGGCUCAGUGGUAGAGCACUUGCCUCACAUGUGUGAGACACUGGGUUAGAUUCUCAGCACAGCA